rnacentral:rRNA from 1 species
AUUGAACGCUGGCGGCAUGCCUUACACAUGCAAGUCGAACGGCAGCGCGGACUUCGGUCUGGCGGCGAGUGGCGAACGGGUGAGUAAUACAUCGGAACGUACCCUGUUGUGGGGGAUAACCAGUCGGAAGAUUAGCUAAUACCGCAUACGACCUGAGGGUGAAAGUGGGGGACCGCAAGGCCUCACGCAGCAGGAGCGGCCGAUGUCUGAUAGCUAGUUGGGGGGGGAAAGGGCCACCAAGGCGACGAUCAGUAGCUGGUCUGAGAGGACGAUCAGACACACUGGGACUGAGACACGGCCCAGACUCUUACGGGAGGCAGCAGUGGGGAAUUUUGGACAAUGGGGGCAACCCUGAUCCAGCAAUGCCGCGUGUGUGAAGAAGGCCUUCGGGUUGUAAAGCACUUUUGUCCGGAAAGAAAUCGCGCUGGUUAAUACCUGGCGUGGAUGACGGUACCGGAAGAAUAAGCACCGGCUAACUACGUGCCAGCCGCCGCCGUAA